rnacentral:rRNA from 1 species
AGUACCUUACUACUUGGAUAACCGUGGUAAUUCUAGAGCUAAUACAUGCUAAAAACCUCGACUUCGGAAGGGGUGUAUUUAUUAGAUAAAAAGCCAAUGCCCUUCGGGGCUCCUUGGUGAUUCAUGAUAACUUCACGAAUCGCAUGGCCUUGCGCCGGCGAUGGUUCAUUCAAAUUUCUGCCCUAUCAACUUUCGAUGGUAGGAUAGUGGCCUACCAUGGUUUCAACGGGUAACGGGGUUUUAGGGAACGACUCCGGAGAGGGAGCCUGAGAAACGGCUACCACAUCCAAGGAAGGCAGCAGGCGCGCAAAUUACCCAAUCCCGACACGGGGAGGUAGUGACAAUAAAUACUGAUACAGGGCUCUUUUGGGUCUUGUAAUUGGAAUGAGUACAAUUUAAAUCCCUUAACGAGGAACAAUUGGAGGGCAAGUCUGGUGCCAGCAGCCGCGGUAAUUCCAGCUCCAAUAGCGUAUAUUAAAGUUGUUGCAGUUAAAAAGCUCGUAGUUGAACCUUGGGCCUGGCUGGCCGGUCCGCCUCAUCGCGUGCACUGGUCCGGCCGGGCCUUUCCUUUUGGGGAGCCUCAUGCCCUUCACUGGGUGUGUUGGGGAACCAGGACUUUUACUUUGAAAAAAUUAGAGUGUUCAAAGCAGGCAUAUGCUCGAAUACAUUAGCAUGGAAUAAUGAAAUAGGACGUGUGGUUCUAUUUUGUUGGUUUCUAGGACCGCCGUAAUGAUUAAUAGGGAUAGUCGGGGGCGUCAGUAUUCCGUUGUCAGAGGUGAAAUUCUUGGAUUUACGGAAGACUAACUACUGCGAAAGCAUUCGCCAAGGAUGUUUUCAUUAAUCAGUGAACGAAAGUUAGGGGAUCGAAGACGAUCAGAUACCGUCGUAGUCUUAACCAUAAACGAUGCCGACUAGGGA